rnacentral:rRNA from 1 species
UACAGAGGUCUCAAGCGUUGUUCGGAAUUACUGGGCGUAAAGGGCGCGUAGGCGGCCUUCUAAGUCAGACGUGAAAUCCCCCGGCUUAACCUGGGAACUGCGUCUGAUACUGGGAGGCUAGAGUAUGGGAGAGGGAUGUAGAAUUCCAGGUGUAGCGGUGAAAUGCGUAGAUAUCUGGAGGAAUACCGGUGGCGAAGGCGGCAUCCUGGACCAUUACUGACGCUGAGGCGCGAAAGCUAGGGGAGCAAACAGG